UAUCUUCGGAUAUGAGUAGAGCGGCGGACGGGUGAGUAACGCGUAGGAAUCUACCUAGUAGAAGGGGAUAGCCCGGGGAAACUCGGAUUAAUACCGUAUACCUCCUUCGGGAGAAAGAAGGCCUCUCUUUGAUGCUUUCGCUAUUAGAUGAGCCUGCGUAAGAUUAGCUUGUUGGUGAGGUAAAGGCUCACCAAGGCUUCGAUCUUUAGCGGGUCUGAGAGGACGAUCCGCCACAUUGGGACUGAGACACGGCCCAGACUCCUACGGGAGGCAGCAGUGGGGAAUAUUGGACAAUGGGCGCAAGCCUGAUCCAGCCAUACCGCGUGUGUGAAGAAGGCCCUAGGGUUGUAAAGCACUUUAAGUUGGGAAGAAAAGUUAUUGGUUAAUACCCAAUGACCGUGACAUUACCAUCAGAAUAAGGACCGGCUAAUUCCGUGCCAGCAGCCGCGGUAAUACGGAAGGUCCAAGCGUUAAUCGGAAUUACUGGGCGUAAAGCGCGCGUAGGUGGUUUAUUAAGUUGGAUGUGAAAUCCCCGGGCUCAACCUGGGAACUGCAUCCAAAACUGAUUCACUAGAGUACGAUAGAGGGAGGUAGAAUUCACAGUGUAGCGGUGGAAUGCGUA
rnacentral:rRNA from 1 species